ACAGACAAUAGAGAGCAGCCCUUGGGAAAACAGUGAAAGCGAGGCUAUUAACUUUUCACAGUUGAAACCUCUUAGAUAUGGCAGGUUCUGAGAGCUCCAAGGCUGAAACCACUGGUGUUUGUCAAAAAGAAGGGUCCUACAUUAAUAAAAUUCUGCUCACUCUUGAACUGUCAUAUCGGAAUUAACAGAUGGGAGAGAAAUUCCCACAUACCAUAUAAGGAGUCAAAAUUGACCAUGCUUCUUCAAUAUUUCUUAAGUGGUCAUAGAAGAGUAUUCAAGAUGGUCAAGUCAAGCUACAGUCAAGACCGGAGGAAGAAGAAGAAGUUAAAGCUGCUUUGUUAAGCCAAAUACAGAGAUUGACAAAGAGGACAUUCCUUUGGGGAAGAAGAGGGGAUUUUGUUUCUCAAGUAAAUUGUGAUGAGAAGGAUAUUGAAAUCUGAAGACGAUUUUGCUAUGCUAUAUGGAUGGAGUUGUACAUGAUACAACGAAUUCAAGAUGUGGUAGAGAGAUAAGGAUACAAAAGCAUAACACAUCAUCAAGUAGUUCUCUAAUACCAACAAAUCGUUGUGCCAAACUGCAGGUUGAAGUUGCGGUCUCAGGCUGAUUAAUACCACUUAGAUGUUUCUUGUAAUUUACUCUCUGAUUAUUUAAGGGUCAAUUUGAUACACUAGAUAAGAUGGAUAUUUGCUAUUAAUGUUUGUGCAUGAUAAAAUAACAAUAUUGUUA